rnacentral:rRNA from 1 species
UACGUAGGGGGCAAGCGUUGUCCGGAUUUAUUGGGCGUAAAGCGCGUGUAGGUGGCCAAGUAGGUCCGCUGUGAAAACUUGAGGCUCAACCUCGAGAUGUCGGCGGAAACCGUCUGGCUAGAGUCCGGAAGAGGAGAGUGGAAUUCCUGGUGUAGCCGGUGAAAUGCGCAGAUAUCAGGAAGAACACCCGUGGCGAAAGCGGCUCUCUGGAACGGUACUGACGCUGAGACGGCGAAAGCGUGGGGGAGCGAACAGGAUU